GUGCUGGGAGAGAAAUCUAAGCACUGGGAGUCCCCUCAGACAGUUCUCUGAGGUCCAGUUGUGCUCUGAACACUUGCAAUUAUCCAGGAAAAAUGAGAACCCCAAAAUAUUUUCAAGCUGGCAGUGACGCCAAAUGGAGACCAGUCAGUCUGAGGCUUGUGAGUGGUAAACAGAACAGUGAGUCCCACAUUUCUUCUACCACCUGAGAUCCCUGGCACCAUCCUAGCCUGUCUAUCCAACAGUGUGCAAUUCACAGUCAUCAAGUUUUUGUGCAUGCUGAAGAGUGACAAACGAUUAAACAUUCCAUGACAAGAGAGGUCCAGACAAGCUCCUUGAAUAUGUUUAAAAGAAAAAUUCUAAAAGAAGCAGAAACCUGGUGUGGUGGAUUGAC